rnacentral:rRNA from 1 species
UGAGGAAUAUUGGUCAAUGGGCGGGGAGCCUGAACCAGCCAAGUCGCGUGAAGGAAGAAGGCGCCAGGCGUCGUAAACUUCUUUUGUCGGGGAACAAAGGGCGCCACGCGUGGCGUUGUGAGUGUACCCGAAGAAAAAGCAUCGGCUAACUCCGUGCC